rnacentral:rRNA from 1 species
CUACGGGGGGCUGCAGUGGGGAAUAUUGGACAAUGGGGGAAACCCUGAUCCAGCAAUGCCGCGUGUGUGAAGAAGGCCUGCGGGUUGUAAAGCACUUUCGGUUGGGAGGACUGCUUCUAGCACUAAUAUUGUUGGAAGUUGACGUUACCUUCAGAAGAAGCACCGGCUAACUCCGUGCCAGGCAGCCGCGGUAAUACGGAGGGUGCAAGCGUUAAUCGGAAUUACUGGGCGUAAAGCGCGCGUAGGCGGCUAGAUCAGGCGGGUGUGAAAGCCCCGGGCUUAACCUGGGAACUGCAUCCGAUACUGUCUAGCUUGAGUACAGGAGAGGAGAGUGGAAUUCCACAUGUAGCGGUGAAAUGCGUAGAUAUGUGGAGGAACACCAAUGGCGAAGGCAGCUCUCUGGCCUGAUACUGACGCUGAGGUGCGAAAGCGUGGGAGCAAACAGGAUUAGAUACCCCAGUAGUC